rnacentral:lncRNA from 1 species
GUUAGGUGUUAACUAGCGUUAGUUAGUGUGUUAGGUGUUAACUAGUGGUAGUUAGUGUGUUACGUGUUAACUAGUGGUAGUUAGUAUGAUAGGUGUUAACUAGCAUUAGUUAGUAUGUUAGGUGUUAACUAGCAGUAGUUAGUAUGUUAGGUGUUAACUAGCGGUAGUUAGUAUGUUAGGUGUUAACUAGCAUUAGUUAGUAUGCUAGGUGUUAACUAGUGGUAGUUAGUAUGCUAGGUGUUAACUAGCAGUAGUUAGCAGGUUAGGUGUUAACUAGCAGUAGUUAGCAGAUUAGGUGUUAACUAGCAGUAGUUAGUAUGCUAGGUGUUAACUAGCAUUUGUUAGUAUGCAAGGUGUUAACUAGUGGUAGUUAGUAUGCUAGGUGUUAACUAGUGGUAGUUAGUAUGUUAGGUGUUAACUAGUGGUAGUUAGCAGGUUAGGUGUUAACUAGCAGUAGUUGGUAUGCUAGGUGUUAACUAGCAUUAGUUAGUAUGCUAGGUGUUAACUAGUUGUAGUUAGUAUGUUAGGAGUUAACUAGCAGUAGUUAGUAUGUUAGGUGUUAACUAGCAGUAGUUAGCAAGUUAGGUGUUAACUAGCAGUAGUUGGUAUGCUAGGUGUUAACUAGCAUUAGUUAGUAUGCUAGGUGUUAACUAGUGGUAGUUAGUAUGUUAGGUGUUAACUAGUAGUUGUUAGUAUGUUAGGUGUUAACUAACGGUAGUUAACACCUGUUGCUAAUGAAUACAACAACCAAGUGCUCAGACCUUCUCUGUUAGAUUUGACUGUAUGACUAGUUAGUAUGGUAGCUGUUAACUAGCAUUAGUUAGUAUGCCAGGUGUUAACUAAUGGUAGUUAGUAUGUUAGGUGUUAACUAGCGUUAGUUAGUAUGUUAGGUGUUAACUAGUAGUAGUUAGUAUGUUAGGUGUUAACUAGUGGUAGUUAGUAUGUUAGGUGUUAACUAGUAGUAGUAAGUAUGUUAAGUGUUAACUAGUAGUAGUUAGUAUGUUAGGUGUUAACUAGUAGUAGUUAGUAUGUUAGGUGUUAACUAGCGGAAGUUAGUAUGUUAUGUGUUAACUAGCAGUAGUUAGUAUGUUAUGUAUUAACUAGUGGUAGUUAGUAUG